GAGUUUGAUCCUGGCUCAGGAUGAACGCUAGCUACAGGCUUAACACAUGCAAGUCGAGGGGUAACAUGAUAAAAGCUUGCUUUUAUUGAUGACGACCGGCGCACGGGUGCGUAACACGUAUUUAACUUGCCACACACUCAGGGAUAGCCUUUUGAAAGAGAGAUUAAUACCUGAUAGUAUAAUUAAUUCGCAUGUUUUGAUUAUUAAAGAUUUAUUGGUGUGUGAUAGGAAUGCGUUCCAUUAGAUAGUAGGUGAGGUAACGGCCCACCUAGUCUACGAUGGAUAGGGGUUCUGAGAGGAAGAUCCCCCACAUUGGAACUGAGACACGGUCCAAACUCCUACGGGAGGCAGCAGUGAGGAAUAUUGGUCAAUGGGCGAGAGCCUGAACCAGCCAAGUAGCGUGAAGGAUGACUGCCCUAUGGGUUGUAAACUUCUUUUAUAAGAGAAUAAAGUCAGUUACGUGUAACUGUUUGCAUGUAUCUUAUGAAUAAGGAUCGGCUAACUCCGUGCCAGCAGCCGCGGUAAUACGGAGGAUCCGAGCGUUAUCCGGAUUUAUUGGGUUUAAAGGGUGCGUAGGUGGAAGUAUAAGUCAGUUGUGAAAGUUUACGGCUCAACCGUGAAAUUGCAAUUGAAACUGUAUUUCUUGAGUGUACAUGAGGUAGGCGGAAUUCGUGGUGUAGCGGUGAAAUGCUUAGAUAUCACGAAGAACUCCAAUUGCGAAGGCAGCUUACUAAGGUACAACUGACACUGAGGCACGAAAGUGUGGGUAUCAAACAGGAUUAGAUACCCUGGUAGUCCACACAGUAAACGAUGAAUACUCGCUGUUUGCGAUACACUGCAAGCGGCUAAGCGAAAGCAUUAAGUAUUCCACCUGGGGAGUACGCCGGCAACGGUGAAACUCAAAGGAAUUGACGG
rnacentral:rRNA from 1 species